AUGCUCGCUUCGGCAGCACAUAUACAAAAAUUGGAACGGUACAGAGAAGAUUAGCAUGGUGCCUGCGCAAGGAUGACACGCAAAUUCAUGAAGCGUUCCGUAUUUUU
rnacentral:snRNA from 1 species